UACAGAGGGUGCAAGCGUUAAUCGGAUUUACUGGGCGUAAAGGGCGCGUAGGUGGUUGCGUAAGUGAGAUGUGAAAUCCCCGGGCUUAACCUGGGAACUGCAUCUUAUACUGCGUGGCUGGAGUGAAGUAGAGGGUAGUGGAAUUUCCGGUGUAGCGGUGAAAUGCGUAGAUAUCGGAAGGAACACCAGUGGCGAAGGCGGCUACCUGGACUUUUACUGACACUGAGGCGCGAAAGCGUGGGUAGCAAACAGGAUUAGAAACCCGUGUAGU
rnacentral:rRNA from 1 species